rnacentral:misc_RNA from 1 species
CCUCUCUCCCGCUUGCGCCUCGGCUAUCCCUUCAGCCCGCAUAGUUGAAGGCGGUAUAUAGUUGUACACACAAGCCAGCCCACGCAGGCACCGCCCACCUGCCCCACCACUCCACCCUCUGACUCUCUGACCGUUUCUCUUGGCGUCAUAUCCGUUGUCUGAUCCCCCAGUUGCGACAACAACGGAAUGAUGUCUAUGCGCCCCACCACCGGAAUGGCCCCGCCGCCGACGGGGAUGGCUUUCUCGGCCACAGGCUCCUCUCAUGCUGGGUCUAUGCGGCCGACGACGACGAUGGGUGGCGGCACCACGCUUGGCCGCAUCCAGGCGCAGGUACAGGAGGGCACUUUUACCUCCACCGUAUACGGCUACAUCCGCGACCACCAGUACGAAGAGGCCGUGGAGUUGCUGGCGACACAGCUGGAGGAGUUCCCGCGCAGCCGUGCUGCCGUGUCGCUCAUGGCAUAUUGCUACUACAUGAUGGGCGACUACGGUGAGGCGGCCAGUCUCUACGAGCAGCUAACGAAGAUCUGCCCUAACAUUGAAGAGUACCGGGUGUACUACGCCCAGUCCCUCUACAAGGCCGGCGCCUACGCCGAGAGCAACCGUCUGUGUACCUUGAUCACCUCACCACAAAAUCAGACCACACUCAACAAACUGCAGGCGGCCAUCGCGUAUGAGCAGGAGGACAUCCCGCAGACAAAGUCGUUCCUCGAGCAGGCCCCGGAGACCGACACGGACAUGCAAGUUCUGCGCGCCUGCGUGCUGAGUAAGGAGGGCAGCUACGAGGAGGCGCUAGAGAAGUUCAAGGAGGCGCAGAACGCCGUCGGUUUCUCGGCGGCGCUGACGUACAACAUGGCGCUCAUGUACUACAAGAUGGAGCAGUACGGUCCGGCGCUGCGGCACUUGGCUGAGAUCAUCGACCGCGGCGUCGAGGGGCACCCGGAGCUGAACAUUGGCACGAACACCGAGGGAGCCGAGGCGCGCUCUGUGGGCAACACACAACUACUGAGGGAGACCGCCCUCAUCGAAGCCUUCAACCUCAAGGCGGCCAUCGAGUAUGCCUCGAAGAACAUGCAGGCCGCCAAGGAGGCACUUACGGAUAUGCCGCCCCGCACCGAUGCCGAGCUCGACCCUGUCACGCUGCACAACACCGCUCUCAUCAACAUGGACGAGAACCCGACGAACGCGUUCAAGAAGUUCAACUUUCUCCUGCAGAACCCGCCCUUCCCGCCAGAGACGUUUCAGAAUCUGCUUCUCUUCUACUGCAAAUACCAGUACUACGACCUGGCCGCGGACGUGCUCGCCGAGAACCCACACCUUGCGUGGCAGUACCUCUCGCAGAACAAUCAAUCGCUCUACGACUUCCUCGAUGGUCUCAUCACGGCCCAGACUUCACCGGCGGAGGCGUACCGCAAGUUCGACAUUCUCGCGCAAAAGAUGGUACAGCAGCUGCGCAACAUGACGCGCCGCAUUCAGGAGGCUGACCAGAGCCAGGACGCGGCAGUCGCGAAGACGGCGGUGCGGACCUACGACGCCACCUUGGAGGAGUACAUUCCCGUUCUCAUGGCGCAGGCGAACAUCUACUGGGAGAUGGAGAAUUACCCGAUGGUCGAGCAGCUCUUCCGCCAGUCGGCCGACUUCUGCUCCGAGAACGACGUAUGGAAGCAGAACGUGGCGCAUGUCUUCUUCAUGCAGGAGACGAAAUUCAAGGAGGCGAUUCGGUACUACUCGCCUGUGGUGGAGGCGAACCGGGAGAACAUUCUGAACUGCAGCGCUAUUGUGCUCGCGAACCUGUGCGUUUCGUACAUCAUGACCGCGCAAAAUGAGCAGGCGGAGGAGAUCAUGCGCCGUAUCGAGCGAGCGGAGGAGCGGCUGACCUACGAGGACCCCUCCAAGCAGCCGCUGCACUUGUGCAUUGUGAACUUGGUUAUCGGAACCCUCUACUGCUCCAAGGGGAACUUCGAGUUUGGCAUCUCCCGCAUCAUCAAGUCGCUGGAGCCCUACGACCGUAAGAUCAUGACAGACACGUGGUUCUACGCCAAGAGGUGCUUCCUUGCGCUGGCCAUGAACCUGGCGAAACACAUGGUUUCUCUGAAGGAUUCUUCCUUCGAAGAGAUCCUCUUCUUCUUUGACCAGGCCGACUUGCAUGGCGAGAAGAUCUUCGCCUUCAUUCACCCUGAUCCGUCCAAGCAGGACACAUCACCGCGCAACACCGCUCGUUGGGAAGCACGGCAGCUGAAAAAACUCUACCUUACACUCAAGGAGUGAGACGGUGCGUAGCGGCAACUGUGUGCUGCGCCGUCGCGUGUGCGUCUCUCUCCCUCUCUUUGGAUCCCUCCGGUACCCCGUGUCAUAGAACUCUAGCCGAGCAGUGCCUGCAUGUGUGUGUCUCUCCAUCUGUGUCUACAAGGCCUGUGUGCCUGAGUGUAUGGUGUGUGUGUGUGUGGUUUAUGUAUCCUGAUAUCAUCGCUUCUCCCCCAACCUUUCUCUCUCCUCUCCGUUCCAUUUCGCGUUUGCGAGGCGCAUGCCUCGAAGCUCAAGGACAACG